AGUGAACGCUGGCGGCAUGCCUUACACAUGCAAGUCGAACGGCAUCACGGGUGCUUGCACCUGGUGGCGAGUGGCGAACGGGUGAGUAAUACAUCGGAACGUACCUUAUCGUGGGGGAUAACGCAGCGAAAGCUGUUCUAAUACCGCAUACGCCCUGAGGGGUAAUGCGGGGGAUCGAAAGACUUCGCGCGAUUAGAGCGGCCGAUGUCUGAUUAGCUUGUUGCUGGGGUAAAAGCCCACCAAGGCGACGAUCAGUAGGUGGUCUGAGAGGACGAUCAGACACACUGGGACUGAGAAACGGACCAGACUCCUACGGGAGGCAGCAGUGGGGAAUUUUGGACAAUGGGGGCAAGCCUGAUCCAGCAAUGCCGCGUGAGCGAAGAAGGCCUUCGGGUUGUAAAGCUCUUUUGUCAGGGAAGAAACACCGGCUCUAACACAGUCCGGGAAUGACGGUACCUGAAGAAUAAGCACCGGCUAACUACGUGCCAGCCGCCGCAGUAA
rnacentral:rRNA from 1 species